GAGAGCUUUAAAACACUUCUCUUAAAGAGAUUUUUCUGAUCGUGGAACUGAAUCGCCCUUGGUAGAUACUGGACCAUUAGAAGCAAGUUUUUACUAUUCUCUAUGGAAACAAAGGCUAUCCUUUUCUGAAGGGUGAAGUGGGGCCGAGCUGGGAGUUUCAGUUUGGUGCUAGGGUUGCUCCUGGGACUGGAGGCCCUGGAGAUUUUCUUGUUUGCUGUCCCCUCCCCUUAAAGCGGCCUCUCAAGUAGGUCACUUGGUCACAUGCUUUCCUGGGUGCCCCUCUGUAUAGACAACUACUAAGUGUGUCUUUGCCCCCUGGUUAUCUUCCUUUCUUUUCUGGGAAGGAGAACUUCCCGAUCACACCAGCCCGUGGCAGUGUUUUUCAGCAUUUCCUUUGCUUCACUUGCAAAGAAAGCUUAUUACAAAGUGGUGUUUGUUCAUUGAAAAGCCCGAGGGUAUUGCAGCUCCAACUUUUUCUUAAGUCGUUUCUACAUUGUAUCUGAGACGGUGACAAUAACCCUCGUACACCUCAACUGAAGCUGAAUGGUAGGUCUUUGAGAGUCAGUGUUUCUGAGAGUCUUUUAGCUGAAAUAGCUUUCCAGGGACGUUCACCCCCCCACCCCCCCGCACGCCUAUGCUAUUUUCUUUUUGUUAAUUUUUGCAUUUCCGUUGUCUCAGUAACUCCCAGGUUUCAACCAAAUCUCGAGGCCUGAUGGCUCUCAUUUCUCUCAAAAUAUCUUACCUUUUAUUUUGCUCUGUAUCUGUUUUUGUUACCAGUUUUUCCCCCUUUUCAGACACGUUAAAAAAAAAUGAUUAAAAGAAGGAUCUUCUGAGAAACAUUGUUUAAAAGCUAUGAUGUUCUUGCUGUCACAACAAGGUUUUGGUAACUGAUAAAUAUUUGUCCAUAAAAGUUACUAGGAACUGACAAAUGCUGAAAAUAACUGCCAAAGUCGCAAAAGUGCUUGUAAUACGGGAGCUCCUAAUUGUGCGGCUUCUUCAGGCCCGCAUUGCAUGGGAUAUUUUAUCUUUGGAGGAGAGUUCUUGUAUGUGCCGUGGGAGGCUCUUGUCACUAGUAUAAUUCGAAUUUAGGCUAUUUUCCAUCAAGAAACUCCCCUGUCCCCCUGGACACACACACUUGAGCAUGGAAUUGGUUCUGUAGCUCUUUUUCAAUGAAGAGGAGCAGCUUGGGAGGGGCAGGCCCACGGUCUCAACGUUACAGCUGCCCGGGGUUAGAGAACCAGCUCUCUGAAUGUGCAGUUUGCUCUCUGCCCUGAGUGCCAGCUGCCAUUUGAGGUCAUCGCUAUGGACAUGUCUGGGUUUUCAUUAAGAGCUCAGGGCUGCUAAUUGCGUCUCAUACUCUGCUUGUUCCUGGACCAAAUUUGGGGCCAGGAGGAGGGCCGAGGAUGAGCACCUCCUCCUGUUUCCUUUGCAACUUGCACACGUCAGGGGGCCACGAGGGGGUUAUGUGGCCAUGGAAGGGGUCUCCCAGUUCCCCUCCAGCUGCUACGGUGAGACCAGGAUAGACCAGUACUUUGUGAAGUGCUUUAUCUUGCCAUCACUUUCUAAAAAUUUAAUGUUUAUUUUCUGUCGGAGUGUACUUGAUUUGCAAUGUUGUGUUAGUUUCAGGUGUACAGCAAAGUGAACCAGUUGUGCAUGUACACAGAUUUAUUCUUUUUCAGAUUCUUUUCCUGUAUAGGUUAUUAGACUAUUCAGUAGAAUUUCCUGUGCUGUACAGUAGGCCCUUGUUGCUUAUCUAUCUUAUAUAUAGUAAUGUGUGUGUGUGUUAAUCCCAAACUAAUCCCUGAUUAAUCCUGGCCACCUGUGAAGUCUCGCUCGGUUUUCCAUUCUUGUAACACGGGUCCCGUGGGCCUGGACGUGGCUCAGGAGCCUUCUUUGCAAAAAACUGCCCAGACAAUUUCCAUGGGAGCCGUGUUUGGGGAUAGAUGCCUGGCUUCCACCUCCCGGAAGUGGCUCCGUAAAAAGUUUUCAGAAUACACAUUCCUCAUGGUUCCACAUGUCCACAGGGGAAUCUCCUCUUCAAGGACCCUGCCAUCGCUGUGGUCAGGGCCGCACUGGCAGAUGCCUGGUGGGACACAGAUGGCGGGGCUGGGAGCUGAGCUCCAAGUGCAGCCCAUCCACCGGCUCUCUCUGCGCUGAACAUGCCUGAAGCUCCUGGCGCCCCUGGGGAGGCAGGUCCCAUGCAUGGGGCCUUGGAUGCAGUGGGUGGGUGAGGGAUGGACGGAAGGAUGGGGAUUGGGCUUCACCUACAGUGGGGCCCUGUUUCCUUACAUGUAGCAUCACCUCCUGGAUGUAUUGUGAGAGGUGAUUAUGGGUGUAGACGGCUCUGCCAGGGUUCUGUCUCCCAAGGCAAGCAUCGCCCUGGGUGCUCCUGGCUGGACGGCAGCUCUUGGAUGUGAACAGAGGCACCGCCUACCUGUGGAGGGUGAUGGCGAAUGUCUGUUAGGUCUGUGUCGUUGCUGCCGUGGGUCUCACUGCCUGGGGACCCCUGGGGGCUAUGACACCUCAUGACGAGGCCAGGAGAUGCAGUGCUUCUUCCAGCAUCCAGCCCCACAUCCCAUUCCCCAGGGGGCAACGAACAGCUGAUCCACACUCCUGCUCCCUCUCAGAUCCCAUCACAGGCGUUCGUAGCUGAUAACAUGCCCUGAGAUUUGCUUAGCUCACAUCGGAAGGCGUCAUCUGUGUUCACAACCUGGCCACCUGGGGUGAGAAGUUGAGGAGGCUGCUCAGAAGGCUGUUAACCAUGGGGACAGGAGACAGGUCAGCCUAUAAACUCCACCCUUCAUACGCAGGACACAGCUGUGUGCAGUGGGUCUCUUGGGGCAUUUGAGGUCGAGACAUCGUGGUUUUAUGCUCACUCUGUUGUGUUAGCGAGAAGUUUCUGUUUUGUGUUUUGUUUUAAUCGAGAGUGGGAAGCAAAGAGCUUAUAGUAAACAUCAAAAGUGAAGCAAAGAACCACAGUUGUAUAAUAAACGGACAAAGCAAACCAUGAUGAGGUGACGAGGUGGGUAUAGUGACCGAGGAGGAGAAAGGAGACUCUUCUUACAGAAGCACCUUUUUUCCCCAAACUUGAAACUUGUUCCUUCCUGGCUCAGCCCAGGUUACAUUGAGAUGGCCACACACACUUCUCAGAGUGAAGUGAUCACUUGCCCUUUUGAAAGUUAUAAAUUAGGGGUUCCUGUUGUGGCGCAGCAGAAACGAAUCUGACUAGGAACCAUGAGGUUACAGGUUCAAUCCCUGGCCUCACUCAGUGGAUUAAGUAUCUAGCUUUGCUGUGAGCUGUGGUGUAGGUCGAAGAUGUGGCUCGGAUCUGGCGUUGCUGUGGCGGUGGUGAAUUGGUGGCUACAGCUCCGUUUCGACCUCUAGCCUGGGAACCUCCAUAUGCCGCGGGUGCAGCCCUAAAAACACAAAAGACAAAAAAAAAAAGUUAUAUAUUAAGCAAUGACAAACUGUUUUUUUUUUUUCCCCAAAGAAGCAUGUUUUCCUCUUAUGCCACUCAGAUGUAUCCAUGUGUAGGCCACUGCCUCAGGGAAUUGAAAGAAAAGCAAGGAUGCUGAGGUUCCUCUGAAAUUUUUGGAUCAUUUCUGGUGGUCUUUGGUCUGUCUGAACAACCCUCAUGUCCCCAGAGUUGCAGGAAGAGAGAGGCAGCCUGGGGCUUCAGGAAGGCUGGCCCCCAACUGCUGGGAUCUGACCUUAAGCCUCUCUUGAAAUUCAGGUCUCUGUGGCUCCCAAUUAUUUGGCCUCCAUGGACACCAGUGCUCCUAAAUCUUGGCCACAAUUAGAAUCACCCACAAGGGUUUCCCCCCACCCCCCAAAAAAACCCUGAUGUGCAGACCCUCCCCCCAAAGGCUGGCUCUUGGUCUAGGGUGUUCCUUACCAGUGAUGGUUCAGGCCCUUUCCAGAUGAUUCAGGGUGCAGCCAGAAUGCUGCUCUGGAUAAACUAGCCCCCCUUCCUUCCCUCUGCUCCUCCCUCCAGGACACACUAAGUGAAUGUCAAGGUUGGUGGUCUAGCCAAGAGCUUUCCUUUUUUAGGUGGCAAGUCCACAUUCCUGCAGUCAUUCUCCAAGUUACUUGGUUUCCAGAAACCUGCCUCCCUGGCCCUGCUCUGGAUGUGCUCUUGGCUCUCCUCCGCGUGUGCCUGGGAGCUGAGACUGGGUUCCCCCAGUUGGGUGUGCACUGUGCCCUUGCCUCCGUGGCUCUGACUAGGAUGCUUUGGCUUGAUCUAAAACCCUCAGCCGUGAAGACUCACACUGAGCUUGUGGUCCCCUAGGAGCCUGGACUCUUUUUCACAGCAAAGCUCUAAAGCCAGACCUUUCACUUCCUGCAUUUGUGUUUUCCGUACCUUAUUAUUUUGAGCCUCUAUUCCAUCCUGUUGAAAACUUUUGAACUUUGUUUUUUUGAUGAAGAUUGCCUCUCCCUCCUCCCUGAGUGUCAGUCCUGAACUCUGUGUCUUCACCAAGGCCACCGAUAUGCGGUGUGGGGCUGUAGGGGGCUGGGGCUGUAGCCUUCAUCCGUAGGAGACCUUCCUCCCUGUGGACCCUGCAUGGAGCUCAGGUCAGCUCCAAGUCCACCUCACUGUCCAGCCACAUCUCACCUUGUGCCCCAGACCAUCAGGAGAGGCCAGGUCCACCUGUCCUCCUGUGCGCUGAGUGACUGGGGGUAAGCCUCUCCAAAGAGGGAAGUCAGGCUGUCUAGGUGAUGGACUUCUCUGGUACAGCUGGGUUUUCUUUUCUUUUUGUCCUAAACCUGAGAUAAAAUAUUUUGAAAUGGUACCUAUUCUGUAAGCCAGAACACCAGGGUUCACAGAAUUGAUCUCGUCUAUUUUCUCAGCAGGUCAAUUGAAAAGUGUGUUUUGAUCUGUGUUAACGUUUUUCUUGUUGUUGUUGUUGGUUUUUUUUUUUUUUUUGGUUUUUUUUUUUAUAUUUUUUAGGGCCGUUUUUUUUAUAUUUUAUAGGGCCACACUUGCUGAAUAUGGAGGUUCUCAGGCUAGGGGGUUGAAUUGGAACUGCUGGGCUACACCACCGCCACAGCAAUGCAGAAUCCGAGCUGGUUCUGCCACCUACACCACAGCUCUUGGCAACGCUAGAUCCUUAACCCACUAAGCAAGGCCAGGGAUUGAACCCGAAACCUCAUGGUUCCUAGUCGGAUUCGUUAACCACUGAGCCACCACAGGAACUCCUGUGUUAACAUUUCUGCAAAUGACUUUCUUUGCCCCUCAGUGCUCUGUCAGUUACAGGCAAGAGCACGGAGGAGAUGCCCUAGAACCUUUAUGCAGGUGUGCUGACCUCCUGUUAGGUGUGAGGCUCGAAGGAGCUAGUGUCUCUAUAUUCUGUUACUGUGGUAGGGGGCCUGCAGGAAAGCCUUUUUGUUACAAAUGCAUCUGACCUGAGCUUGUUGACCUGAGAUGAAGGGAGUGCCAGGCAGGUCUUGCUCUAUGUCCUCUGGGGCAGCAGGCACCUCCCGCCCUUGUCCGAGUAUUAGCAGUAGAACUGCCCGGCCCGGUGGGCUCUGAGGCCCCAGGAGGCAGGUCCCACCAUGGCCUAGGGAUGGGAAGAAGCCUGGGCAGGGGUCCAGUGUCCCAGCUUCCAAACCUCCUUAGUCUUUUUCCUCCUUCAUCCUGUGGAGAGAAGGGUGUGGUUAGUAUUCCCAGUAGUUUGUGUAACUGAGUUAGGGUUACCGAAAUUGUAUAAUCCAGAUUUAGGAUGUUGGCAUAAAUGAAGUGUCACCCUUGGGUGAGGGCGUCAGCUGUGGAGACUGACGCUGGGAAAUACUAAAAAGUUGAGCUCUCCAAAUUGAUCUGUCUGAAAGGAAAUUUAAAAGUUGAGAAAUUCCAACCAAAUAGUCUUUGCAAGAGACCACAAGUGGUUGUUGAUUAAAGGACCUCUUCGUGGUGAUACUUUCUGAUAAAGCCAUUUGGGGGGAUGGGAGGAGAAAAGUUGGGUUCCCAAGACAACUUGGCUUCACUGACUUUUUUUCUCUGAAGAUUCUCAGUGAUGAAUCUCCAGCUUUCUUCCUUGUGCAAUUUCAAUAACUUGGGACCUGUUUCCCAAGUGUGUGCAAAGUGUGUGCCUUGGACUAGAGGGAAGGAGGGCGCCCUGAGCACCCCACAUCUGCAGCUGCAUCUGCCUCACCAGAGUCUGGAAGGGACCAGAUCUACCGGCUCAGAUGCAGCCCUGGUUCCAGGCUCUGCUUUGUCUCCAUGGGGGACCAUCACACAAGCCUGCUUUUCCAUUCUGUAUUUUUUAGUUGAGAAAGGAAAAGAAAAGAGGAUUAAGAGACUUAACAUGGAACACUGUAAAUCAAGUAUAAUGGAAAAAUAAAAAUCAUAAAAAGAGAAUUAAUAUGCAUUGAAAAUUAAGUGCUUAAAAAUGGAUAUAAUGUCUAGUCACUUAUGAUGGAGCAUGAUAAUGUGAGAGAAAAGAAGGUAUACAUGUAUGUGUAACUGGGUCACCAUGCUGUACAGUAGAAAAUUGACAGAACACUGUAAACCAGCUCUAAUGGAAAAAAUAAAAAUCACUAUAAAUGAAAAAAAAAAAAAAA
ensembl:lncRNA